GCAAGAUGUAGUCAUAUGCUUGUCUCAAAGAUUAAGCCAUGCAUGUAAAGUAUGAGCAAUUAUACGGCGAAACUGCGAAUGGCUCAUUAUAUAAGUCAUCGUCUAUUUGAUAGUACCUUACUACUUGGGUAACCGUGGUAAUUCUAGAGCUAAUACAUGCUGAAAAUCCCGACUCCGGAAGGGAUGUAUUUAUUAGAUUCAAAACCAAUGCCCCCCCCGGGCUCACUGGUGAAUCAUGGUAACUGCUCGAAUCGCACGGCCUUUGCGCCGGCGAUGGCUCAUUCGAAUCUCUUCCCUAUCAACUUUCGAUGUUUGGGUAGUGGCCAAACAUGGUUGCAACGGGUAACGGAGGGUUAGGGCUCGACCCCGGAGAAGGAGCCUGAGAAACGGCUACUACAUCCAAGGAAGGCAGCAGGCGCGCAAAUUACCCAAUCCCGACACGGGGAGGUAGUGACAAUAAAUACUGAUACAGGGCUCUUUUGGGUCUUGCAAUUGGAAUGAGUACAAUUUAAAUCCCUUAACGAGGAACAAUUGGAGGGCAAGUCUGGUGCCAGCAGCCGCGGUAAUUCCAGCUCCAAUAGCGUAUAUUAAAGUUGUUGUGGUUAAAAAGCUCGUAGUUGAACCUUGGGCCUGGCUGGCCGGUCCGCCUCACCGCGUGCACUGGUCCGGCCGGGUCUUUCCCUCUGUGGAACCCCAUGCCCUUCACUGGGUGUGGCGGGGAAACAGGACUUUUACUUUGAAAAAAUUAGAGUGCUCCAGGCAGGCCUAUGCUCGAAUACAUUAGCAUGGAAUAAUAAAAUAGGACGUGCGGUUCUAUUUUGUUGGUUUCUAGGACCGCUGUAAUGAUUAAUAGGGACAGUCGGGGGCAUCAGUAUUCAAUUGUCAGAGGUGAAAUUCUUGGAUUUAUUGAAGACUAACUAGUGCGAAAGCAUUUGCCAAGGAUGUUUUCAUUAAUCAGGAACGAAAGUUAGGGGAUCGAAAGACGAUCAGAUACCGUCGUAGUCUUAACCGUAAACGAUGCCGACUAGGGAUCGAACGGUGUUAUUAUUUGACCCGUUCGGCACCUUAAA
rnacentral:rRNA from 1 species